rnacentral:rRNA from 1 species
UGGGGGAUAUUGCACAAUGGGGGGAACCCUGAUGCAGCGACGCCGCGUGAGUGAAGGAGCGCCUCGGCGCGUAAAGCUCUGUCAGCAGGGAAGAAACACUGCCCUAAAGGGCAGCAGACGGUACCUGACCAAGAAGCCCCGGCUAACUACGUGCCAGCAGCCGCGGUAAUACGUAGGGGGCAAGCGUUAUCCGGAUUUACUGGGUGUAAAGGGAGCGUAGACGGCAGGGGAAGCCUGGAGUGAAAGGCGGGGGCCCAACCCCCGGACUGCUCUGGGAACUCCCCGGCUGGAGUGCGGGAGGGGUAAGCGGAAUUCCUAGUGUAGCGGUGAAAUGCGUAGAUAUUAGGAGGAACACCGGUGGCGAAGGCGGCUUACUGGACCGUGACUGACGUUGAGGCUCGAAAGCGUGGGGAGCAAACAGG